rnacentral:lncRNA from 1 species
UUAAUACUUAUAAUUUUUUAAGCUAAGGUUUUCGUAUGAAAUUCAAAGAUAAGAGAAAUAAUGCAACUUACAUUACCAUGUGCAAUAUGCCGAUUUAGGAAAUUUUGUGUUCUUUUUUAUGGUUAUUCGGUGACAGAGAGACUGUCUCACAUGAGAUACGAUGAUGAUAGAUUGUGUGGUUGAUGUGAAAUGGUUAUAGAUAAGAGAAAUUGCACCUAAGAAAAACACCAAAAUUCACAAACUAACCAAAUUCCUAUUCUCUCUCCCCCUUUCUCUUCCUAUCUCUCUCUACUCUCUUUCUAAAAAAUCUAAUUUUAUUUUCUUGUUUGGUUAUUUCACAAAUAACCCCUAUAGAUAACGCACAGUGCUUUGCUACUUUUUUAUUUUCGAUUUUCAGAAAGAAAGAAAGACAGAGAGAUGGAAUUGGGUGGACGAUGGAGCAAUAAGCUAAAGGGAAAGGCAAUUGAAGAUAAUGUGCUUUGCUACUGUGGAAUUCCGGCCAAGAUAUCUCAAGCUUGGACAGAAAAAAAUCCAGGUCGAAGGUUCUAUGGGUGUGAAAAAUACAAGGUAUAAGAUUAUUGUGAACUCUGUAUAUAUUGUCAUGGUAUGAUUAUUGGAAAGUUUUAAAUUUUGUUUUUGUGUUAGAGUGGAGGUGACUGCAAGUUUUUUAAAUGGUUUGAUGAGGAAGAAGCUUUUGGAUGGCAAAAGAAAGCUUUGAUUGAAGCUAGAAACGAAAUUCGCGAGAAGCACAAAACUAUUAUGGAAUUGAGGAAGAUCAUUUCAAAGCUUCAAAGUGAGUUGGUGAAAAAAGAAGAGGCUGAAGAAGACAUCAUCAACACUUUUCUCAAACUCUGAAGUUGUUAUUGUAAGGAUUAUUAUCGGAUCCUCAAAAUCAAAAACCCUUGUAAUGUUAUUCCUAUAUGUUGUUAUCGGAUCCUCAAAAACCCUUGUAAUGGUUUGAACAUCAUGUGUUUAGUGUAAUAUAUUAUCUGUUAUGAGCUUCAUAUUUGACAUCUAAAAUAACCAAAUUUUCAUUCAAAUAAAACACAUUCAAAUCUGAGAACCAAAUUUGUCAUAGACAUUACAAAAACACAUAUCCGAGAGCCAAAAGGCCAUAUCCGAGGAACCAAGAAGACACAUUAAAAUGACCAAAACAAUACAUCUUCCGAGAACCAACCAAGACACUUCAAAGAACAAAAGACAUGUCUGAGACACUUCUUAGACACUUCCGAAAACCAACCAAGACACUUCCAAAUGACAUGUCUGAGACACAUCAAGUUUGUGUUGCACGUGGUGCAGUUGAGGAGACAUCCUCCGCCUCUUGUUCUUGAGCUUGUUGUUCCGUGUUUGCACGUCUACGCUUAGCUCUGCUUUCUUCAGGCUGCAACAAAAGACAAUAAAUUAAUGACAACAAAAGACAAUGAAUCAAUGACAACAAAGACAAUGUACCUCAUGAGGACACUUCCUUGAGUUGUGGCGUUCACCACCACAUAGACUACAAUGACCAAUCCUUCCUUUUCGACUAACUUUUGUCGGAUUCUUCUUGGGUGAUUCAAGUAUUCCUUUAAUCCUUGCUUUCCCUUUUGGUCUUCCAGGAGGUCUCUUGUAAGGAGGUGCUUCAAUACGUUCUGCACCAGAUAGCUUCCAGAACUUUGGACCAUUUACCGGCCUCAAACCUCUAAAGUACACACCUUGCCACUUUGAUGUAAGAUAGUAAUCCGAAAUGUAAUCAUCAACCUCCAUACCAUUCUCACGGAUAGCUGAUACGGCAUGACGACAUGGAAUUCCAGACAAGUCCCAUUUCCUACAAGUGCAGCUUCGAGAAGGCAAGUUGACAGUGUAACCAUUUGAAAACUCUACAAUCUCAAAUUCACCACCUGUGCUACAGUAAGAAUAGCAAUAUUGAGCUUCAUCACAAGACUUUUCAACCUCCUUUCUAGCCUUCUUUGUGUAGAGACCUGGCGUGUUGUUAGCCGUCUUACUUCUAGUCGCUAUCCUCUGCAUAGCAUCCCUUCUAAUCAACUCAAGCAUCUGAAUAAAAGGCUUCUUUCUAGCUAUCUUCAAAGUUCUAUUGUAAGACUCAGUGAAGUUGUUGUGUGUAUCAGAACAACAAGACCCUAUCCGGAAAAAAGCUCUGCACCAAGAUGUCGGAUCCUUUUUUAAAAGAUCAUCAGCUGCGAGUGGAUCAAGCUGUUUCAAAUUCUCUAAAUUCUUCUCAUAGUCAGCCUCAUUGUAGCUACUUGCAACACGCCAGAACAAUGGCUUCAACGUAUCAGACUUAUGAAGCUUCUUCAGAUUGGAGUAGAUGUGCCUAGCACACGCUCUAUGUUCAGCUCUUGGCAACUCGACUGCAACUCCAUGGAUCAAUCCCUUAUGUUGAUCUGAAAUGAUUGUGACUUGUUCACCCAUGCCUAAACCCAAAUCAAUCUUCAAACGCUGGAUAAACCACUGCCAGUUAUCGUUGUUCUCAGAGGUUACGACAGCCCAUGCAAUUGGAUAGAUCUGAUUAUUGGGGUCUCUUCCAACGGCAGUCAGUAUCAGUCCUUGCAACGAGCUGUGCUUGAGAAAGGUUCCAUCUAAUCCAAUCACCGGUCUGCAAUAAGUCUUCCAUGACACACGUAGGUUGUGAAAGCAGAUAUACAUUGAGUUGAACGCUUUGGCUCCAUUCGGUUUUGUUGUUGUGGUGAUCUCAAUUUUGCUGUCAGGGUUUGAACUGCAAUUGACAAAAUAAAACAGUUACUCAUAUGACCACAAUACAUUGAAAUCAUAUUUAAAAGUUAGAUAACUAACCGUAAUAGCUCCAUCUCAUAAUCUUUUAUUCUUGCAAAAUGCUCAUUGCAUUCUGCUUGUAACUUAUCAAGCACAAUACGCCUAGCUAUCUUUGCCUGUUCAGGAGAGAUCAAGAUGUUGAACUUAUCCCUAAACUCCUCUCUGAUCAUUGGAGCACUCAUUUCAGGUUCCUUCCUGAUUUUCUCCAACAUAACUUCAGCAAUUGCAGGGCUUUUGAUGAGUUUACACUUGCCUGUGGGAUGGCAAGUAUGGGUGUUGACAUACACUUUCACCAUCCAUUGCUUGAUUGGUGUCUCUACCGAGCAGUAUAUACGCCACCUACAACCUUUGCCACUGCAUUUAGCACCAAUCUUUGUCUUCUCCCAUCUAUCAUAGACCACAUUUCUUCUCGUCUUCAGUAUAUAUUUGAUAACUUGUUUCUUGAAGUCUUCACCAGUGUGAAAUGUCUGUCUAAGACUGAAAACGCCAUCUAAUUCACCCCUUUUAGCCAUCCUCUCAGCUUGUUCCUCUUCAUCAUCAGAUGAAUUCUCAGUGUCCGGAUAUAUCUCAUCCUCGUCUAGAAUCUCAUCCUCAUAGUUCUCGUUCCUAAACAUCUCAAGACCCUCUUGGAAAUUUCUGUCAAAAUCAUCUUCAUUCUCGGAUUCAUUACUGGCUUGAUACUCAUCUUCACUCUCUUCUUCUUCAACCUCUUGCUCUGCCGGUGCGUCAAGCUCUUCACCAUCAACAGCUUCUUGCUCAGCCUCUGCGUCAUUCUCGUCACCAAGAAUAACAUGUUGCUCAACCUGUGUGUCACCGUCAAUCUCAUCACCAUCAACAACAUGCUGCUCAGCCUCUGUCGCAGUAACAUCAUCAGGUUCAGCUUCCUCUAUGAAGACAUCAAGCUCUUUGUACCAACGACCAUUAGCAUUCAUCUUUCUUUUGUUUACUUCUCCAUUUUCAGACAAAUCCUUCUUCUCUGAGAUAUCCUCAUAUGGUAACUUGUACCACAUUUUCCCCUUACUAACUACCUUAAUCAUCUUCUUCAUUACUUCAUCAUAUACUGCAUCACCAUCAACUUCAAACUGUUCCAACAGACCAUUGACAUAAUUAAGCUUCCCAUCUUCAUCAUCUUUUUUGAACACACCCCCAAAGAAACAAUUUAUCUUCACCGAGAUUGUAUCGCUCAUCGUGGUCCUCUUUCGAUUCAACACCUUACUUCAUCAACCUCUCGAUUCGAUUUCACCAAACCUGGAUUCUGAUUUCACCAAACCGUCUUACGAACCCCAAAAUCGAUUGCCUCUCUCUGUCUCUCUCAAUCUCUCUCUCAAUCUCUCUACGAAACCUCCAAUUUUUGUUUUCCUUUCAAACCCUAGAAAUGCGAUUUGGGGAAGAAAUGGGAUUGGGUUUCCUCGGGUCGGGUUUAUGAGAUGAAUCGGGUCGGAUAUUAUUAAUCGAAGUUUAACUUUAAAUAUUACAUAAUAACCCUAUCAACUAUUCUUAAAAUCAAUUAAACCUCGUCGUGAUGUUAUUAACAUAUUAAAUGAAACGUUAUGUAUGUGGCAUGUAUUAUCAUUAACGACGUGUAGUUAUUGACAUAUUCGGAUACAUCAGAUGGUUUUCACCAUAUUAUAGUAAACCUCGUGUAGCUAGGAAACUUUUUUCCUUUUAUUUAUUAGCAGAACUAACGCUGCUGUGGUCAUAUAAAAUAGGAAGCAGUUGAAUGGAAACACAAAAGCAAAGUUGCAGGCAAAAUGCACGCUUGUGGUCAUGAUGC